AUGAAUCAAGAACCAGUAAACGCACGGGAAGGAAAGAAAACAGAUGAGCUUGCAUGCACAUGCGUAUACAGAACGCGGGACAGAGAGGAGGGGGAGAUGAUGAUUUUGAGGAUUCAUUCACCUUCCUGGCGACCCGCGGUCGAGGGCGAGCAGAGCUGGGGCGGAGGAGUGGCGAGCGGGAGGAGUAGGGAGCUAGGACGAGACGGGUGUGGUGUGGACGAUGGGGGGAAUUGUGGUGUGGGCCGAGGAGAAUAUAAUGGUGGUGGUGGGCGAGAGAGGAGGAGGACUGGAGGAGGGAGGGAGAUGGAAGCAACGAGCUCAGUGAUUUAUUUUCUUUUUGUUUUUCGGAUCUGA
rnacentral:rRNA from 1 species